rnacentral:misc_RNA from 1 species
AUAUGUUUGUGUUGUUUGUGAAUUGUGUAAGGAUGAGGAGGAGGAAGGCGCCGGCAGCCUUGUGGUGAGGACGGCCGCCUCCCUCACAGUCAUGGCAUUUGAUCUCAAGAAAGAAGAAGAUGUGAAAGAAUUUAUUGAAAACCUUGGUAUAGAGUACAGGUUUGGGUGCUUCAGUGAGAAGAAACCUGACAGUUGUCAUCUUUUAGGGGACUACCUAGAAGGUGUCAAGAAGGACUUUGAAAAGGCUGCAAAAGUUUAUCGAAGCAACUGUGAUGAGUCAUCAUUUGCCAAAAGUUGUUAUAAAUAUGCAAAUUAUAAUUUUCUUGGUAAGGGAUGCAAGCAGAACAUGGAUGAGGCAUAUUACUAUUAUUUGAAGGGAUGCUCAGCUGGUGAUGCUGAUGCUUGUCUCAAUGGCGGCCUUAUGUGUGUGUCAAAUACACCAAGUAAUGCUCCAAGAGAAAAAGAUUAUACAAAGGGCUUGGAGCUUUUAGACAAGGCUUGUUCUGGUAGCAAUGCUUUUUCUUGCUAUUACAUAUCGGGAAUAUAUAUUCAAGGAGUAAAGGAUGCUGUCAGCAAGGAUAUGAUGAAAGCCUUUGACUACUCCAUGAAGGCCUGUCAGCUGGGCAAUAUGUAUGCUUGUGCAAACAUUUCUCAGAUGUAUCGGAAAGGAGAUGGUGUUAAGAAAGAUGAAGAGAAGAGUGAAGAGUACAAGAAGAAAGCGCUGGAUAUGCAAGACCAAGUUAAGGAACAGAUGCAGAUACAGUUUCAACAAGGAACGCAACAGCUGUAGUCACUGGUUCUCCCAUACAUGUAUAUACUGUAUUUUUAUAAUUACUUUUGAAGAGUUUGGAAUCAAGAAUUUUGAAAAGGGAUUGAUGCAUUGGCUCUCCAGCUGUUGGAAACGACUAAAUAGCUUGAACUUACAUAGUACAAUACUGUAUUAUAUAUGGACAGCUUUAAUAUCAUGAGUGCAGUUCGUUUUCCUGAGUGUGCAUUUCUGUAAGUGUAUUGUUGCUAGACAGAUGAUGUCAUUACCUCACACAUACCUCAGGUGUCUCCCAGUAUAAACUUUGAGUUCCAGCAAGUCUAAGUAAUACAGCAAUUCCUGCAUUACAAAAAUCCUGUUUGUAGGUGUGUGGUGGCCUAGAUUACCCAUAGAAGCAUUGCACUGGGAGAAGUUUAUCCUCUUGGCAAUGCAUGACACUACACUCCCGAUUUGUGUUCUGCUGAACUUUUGCAUCCUGCUGUGUUGUUUCCAGUACCAGUGGGAGAACAGAAUAUAUAAUGUUUUAUAUAUAUCAUUUUAUAAAAAUUUUCCAACAUAAGCAAAAUGUUUAUAAGGGAGAAAUAAUUACACAGCAAACAUUUGACUUCUCAGUUGUAAAAAGCUAGUAAACAUUGUAUCUACCGUAAUUAGACUUGCUUACAUGACAAUAAGGUGGAACUAUUUUCUUGCGACAUGAGGCAAAUCCUUGUACUAUUGUAUAUGUAAAACAGUCUGAAAGGAAUUUUUAUUUAGUGUUAAAUUAAUUGCUAUGUAAAUGUUAGUUUUGUGUAAAUUAGAUUGAUAAUAAAAGAUAUAUUUUGGGACCUUUGUACUAAACAUCUGGUUCUUAUCUAAAUUUUAGGGUAUAUUCUAACUGCUUGAUGAGUAUGAAGUCAGUACCAUGCAGCAAAUUACAAAACAAAUGCAUGCUGACCCUAAGAGUUAUAACUGAACACAGGCUAUUAUUUUUGUCCUAAAGUAUUAUUUAUUAUACAGAAUUUACUCUGAAAUUCUACAUGGUUCAGUAUACUGUAUAUUGUAAGUGAUUAAUGCUAUUGUGAACAGUAUUUGGUUUGAACUACUUCAGGUUGCUAAGAAUAACAUUUUGUUUAAUUAAUGUAUGCCAGGAAAUUACACAUUUCUAUCCUGUAUCUUGUACAUAAAGACAGUACUACUGAUGUUCAUUUUAUAUUAUUUCACUAUAUUAUUUAACUUGUAUUUUACAAGUAGGUUUUACUUGUAUUUUUACUUGUAUUUUACAGCAUAGGAAUGGAUAUUUUAGCCUUGUUUAAAUGCAGGAAAGUAUUAUUUAGGCAGCACGUUAAAUACUGAUUUAGAUGCUCUAUUAUAUUAAUUCUAUAUAUAUAUAUUAAUAUACAGUAUAAUAAUUCUAAUAUAUAUUAGACUAAUAUAGUUUAAUAUAUACAGAUUACUUAUUUAGAUGCUCUAAUAUAUUAAUUCACCAGUUCACUAACAUCCUAAGUACAGUUGUGUCUUGUGCCCCUGUUUGAAAACAUUUUGGUAUACUGGUAUAUAUAUAAUAUACAUAUGUGUAAAAUUUCAAGUAUAUAUGGUAUACUGUAUGUACAUUGUGUAAAAAAAAGAACAGUUGAUGUAAAUGUUCAGGUCUAGCAGAUACUAGUUAAUUUAAAUAAAAGUUGACAACUAUAAA